UACAGAGGUGGCAAGCGUUGUUCGGCAUUACUGGGCGUAAAGGGCGCGUAGGCGGUUCGUUAAGUCCUGUGUGAAAUCCCCCGGCUCAACUGGGGAGGGUCACGCGAUACUGAUCGACUCGAAGGCAGGAGAGGGUAGUGGAAUUCCCGGUGUAGUGGUGAAAUGCGUAGAUAUCGGGAGGAACACCAGUGGCGAAGGCGACUACCUGGCCUGUUCUUGACGCUGAGGCGCGAAAGCUAGGGGAGCAAACGGG
rnacentral:rRNA from 1 species